UCCUCCCUCUGUCGGCGUGCUUAACACAUGCAAGUCGAACGGAAAGGCCCUGCUUGCAGGGUACUCGAGUGGCGAACGGGUGAGUAACACGUGGGUGAUCUGCCCUGCACUUCGGGAUAAGCCUGGGAAACUGGGUCUAAUACCGGAUAGGAGCCAUUUUUAGUGUGAUGGUUGGAAAGUUUUUUCGGUGUAGGAUGAGCUCGCGGCCUAUCAGCUUGUUGGUGGGGUAAUGGCCUACCAAGGCGGCGACGGGUAGCCGGCCUGAGAGGGUGGACGGCCACAUUGGGACUGAGAGACGGCCCAGACUCCUACGGGAGGCAGCAGUGGGGAAUAUUGCACAAGGGGCGCAAGCCUGAUGCAGCGACGCCGCGGGGGGGAGGACGGCCUUCGGGUUGUAAACUCCUUUCGCUAGGGACGAAGCUUUUUGUGACGGUACCUAGAUAAGAAGCACCGGCUAACUACGUG
rnacentral:rRNA from 1 species